rnacentral:rRNA from 1 species
ACUCAAAGGAAUUGACGGGGGCCCGCACAAGCGGAGGAACAUGUGGUUUAAUUCGAUGAUACGCGAGGAACCUUACCCGGGCUCGAACGGCGGAAGAAUAUGGUGGAAACAUUAUAGCCAGCAAUGGCUUCUGUCGAGGUGCUGCAUGGUUGUCGUCAGCUCGUGCCGUGAGGUGUCGGCUUAAGUGCCAUAACGAGCGCAACCCUUACCGUUAGUUACCAUCAGGUUAAGCUGGGGACUCUAACGGGACUGCCACCGUAAGGUGUGAGGAAGGUGGGGAUGACGUCAAAUCAGCACGGCCCUUACGUUCGGGGCUACACACGUGUUACAAUGGGGGGUACAAAGGGCAGCUACUUAGUGAUAAGAUGCUAAUCUCCAAAACCUCUCCCAGUUCGGAUCGGAGUCUGCAACCCGACUCCGUGAAGCUGGAUUCGCUAGUAAUCGCGCAUCAGCCAUGGCGCGGUGAAUACGUUCCCGGGCCUUGCACACACCGCCCGU